AAUAAACAUGCUCCACAUUUCCCGUAACAGCACAACAUGAAGAGCAAAGAAAUGUUUCCAGUUCACGAAAUCAAUGGAGCGAUCGAGAUGAUAAUACUUAACUGCAGCAUGAUGAAGUUCGCGAUCCUUCUGCUCUUCUGUCAACAAGUACCAUUCCUGCCUGAUUUUGAGCAGGCUGAGCUCUAGGCAAUCGUUUAGCGAUUUCGUAAAAUAUAUCGUUGACAUUAACAGCAGUUUUGGCAGAGGUUUCCAUGAAAAAUAGGCCAUUUUCCUCAGCGUACAAGUGUGCUUCUUCUGCAGUCACCUUCCUCUUAUCUUCUAGAUCAGCCUUAUUGCCAGCAAGAGCCAUUACCAUAAUCGGAUUACCUUGCUUCUGCAAUUCUUGCACCCAUUUCUUUGCCCGUGCAAAUGAAUCAGUGCUGGUGAUGUCAUAGACGAUAAUAGCUGCUGCAGCACCCCUGUAAUACAUAGGCGCUAAGCUAUGGUACCUCUCCUGACCAGCAGUAUCCCAGAUCUCAAACUUCACCGUAGAAUUGUUAACCGAAACAGUAGAGGAAAAGAAAGCCGCUCCGAUCGUCGAUUCUUGGAAUUCAAGGAAUUGUCCCUUGACGAAUCGUAUAACCAAGCUUGAUUUACCAGCUCCCAUGUCCCCCAACAACACGAGUUUUGCAUUGAGAUUAUUGUGAGCAGUUGCCGCCAUGAUCAAAUGCCGAAGAUGAAAAUGAUGAAAUCCCAAUUUACAGAGGUAUUGGGUUGUAAGCAGAAAACAAAUACUAGUAGUAAAUUAAAGAGCCUGACGUAUGUUGGAAGGCCUCAAAAGCUAAAA
rnacentral:misc_RNA from 1 species